UGGUGGAAACCUAGAUAAGAGGCUAAAUGAAAAGGAUUUUGAAUAUGUGAAAAAUGUACACAUCCAUCUCCUAACAACAUUUAUAAUGCAUGUUGGUAUGUUACUAAUCUCAUUGUUAUAACAGAAGCUUAUCAUGAAAUCAUUUUAAUAUCUCAUUUAAAAAUGUUUAUAGGGUCCUUUGGGCACUUCCAGGCAAGUAGAGCUGGAGUUCACAGAGAUGGAUUGCAUUUACCUCUUGUAACUGCUGGUUUUGUGGCAACAAGAAUAUCUAAGGUAUUCCAUCUGUUGGAAUUUCUCCAUUUUCUUGUGGUUGGUCAACUUGUGAAAAAAAGCUGCAAGCUGCAGAAAGCGAAGUCAAGCAGAUUUUAGUUCGCUGCUCAACGCCAAAGCAUCAUCGCUUUGACAGCACUGGUAGUGCAAAUUCCUCACACGGUAACCUUCUUCGGGACGAAAAAAUUAGCAUACACAGCAAGUUCGAAGCCAACUGCUUGAAAGUCAUCUUGCUAAGAUUUUAAAGCAAAAAAUGGAGAUCUUCACAAAAAUUGAGUUUACACAGGAGUCCGUGAUCUCAACCAUUGUGAAACUCUGCUUGAAAAGCUUUGUACAGUUUGGGAGAGUCCAGACUUUUAACCACAGUGGAUUUCAGCAAAUCUAGUUGGACAUGCAGUUCCUUCGAGCGCCUCUUAAAGAAAUUGCCGAUGAUGAUGCAGCUAUUGAUUUCCUACUUGAUGAGGUCUGUGUGGCAGCUGCAGAACGUUGUCUUGAUUCAAUUCCUCUAGAGCCAGCUAUUUUGGAGAAACUGAUCCAGGCAAAAUUGCCCAAGAGUUGAUCAAUGGAGCUGAUGGUUUGAAAAAUAUCCGAUGCAUUAUUCUGCGGGCCAACAGGUGGUCAUUCGCACACUGGCCUGUGCAUGCUUCACUGUCACCACUUUUUUUUUGUAUUUCCCAAGAUCAUGGCUUGUGUGGGCCACUGUCAGAGGAGUUUGGCAGUUCGUUUGCGUUCUCUUGGGUAAUGCGGCACUGAAAACUGAACUAUUUCCAUCACAUGCUCAUGGUCUUACCGUGCGCAGACCUUGCAGGCAGGUUCUUCUAGAAAUUCAUGAAUAAAAUGUAACUGCCACGUUGUGUUGGGACAGUCCCAACUUUCUUCUCAAAAUUGAAUUGAGAAGGCUUUUGUUGCUUAAAGGGAGAUACUGCUCAAGGAUCUGUUGUACGUAAUACCUUACUCUGGUUGUCUUUUCAUAUAUACUUGUAUAGUGCACGCAGCGCUGGUUGGUUGUUCCCGGUUUAUAUAGUUACCGGCUUAGGUUUUUGACAUUGUACAUUCGGGUUAUGGAGCUUGUUAGAAACUUCCAAGGCAGUUCAACACU